AGCAGGCUUCGGCUUCCACUUCGUCGUGGUUAGUCUCGCCUGGCAACACUGCCGCCACCGCCACCUCAAGAGGGCCGAACAAACUCGCAACUAUGUAUUUAGUUUCGGUCCUGGACCAACCCAGCCAACUGCUCUUCUCAUUCGCACAGAAUCGGCAACGUCGCAUCAGAUCGGUGUAACAACGAACCCCUUUUCACGGAUUACUUUUUUCCACUCUCUGGCCGAUAGACUCCAUUUGGAAAACUACCUGCCACAACUAGUGCCGCCCAUAAACGCAAAUUCUCCCUGGUCCUUGGUUCUUUGCUUUUGUCUUUGCGCUCGCUCGUUUUAUUUCUUUCUCUCUCUCUCUUUCUCACACUCUCACUCGCACGUUUUUCUCAGCGUUCUCUCUCCUUUUUAUCCUUCUUGCUCCUUCCGAAUAUCGUAUCGAGAUUGUUAAGUCUGUAAGCGGGAUUAUACCUUUCCUGUGGGUUACCGCUUCGCUUGGGGACCAUCAAUAGACAUAAGGAGACCGAGUCCCCUUGUCUCGAGGCGCGAAUUAAUGAUCGAAGGGUAAGAACUGAAGUUCGAAGCGAUUUCGAUUACCGACCAACCGGAAAAAAGAUAAAUAGAUACUAAAUGUGGAAUAAAGGAUACAUAAAUACUAUAUAAAAGAUUAUAUUUACGGUGGCUACAAAAAAUAUAUAUUUGUAAUUUGUAUAUAUCUUUAUAUUCCAUUAAAGCGUUUCCUUAUUGGGUUCUAUAUUUCAUUUCCAUAGUAUCAAAUUUUUGUAAUCAUAUGAAAGUUACCAUUAAAUGAUACAAAAUGUGUUACAGUCGGAUCUAGUUAAUUAGUAUAUAAAAGUAAAAAAUAAUAAAUGCAGUGGUUUACAAAUACUUUUGGUAGCUACUGUAAUUUUUAUAUUUUUAAAUAAAAUUUCGUGGAUAAUUUCAAGAUGUUCAUAAUUAAUUUUUAUUGUUAUAUAUUAUACGGUGUUUCAGCAAACGCGGUACAAUCGAAAAGCAUAUGGUUCUACGAAAAAAAUGAUAAAAUAAAUAAAAAAUGUAGAAUAAAAUUUUUCUGUCCCUCUGUUUUCUAGAAAAUAGAGUUUGAAUGUAUUGAACUAAUUGAGUACACGCAUACUUGAGCAGUUUUCGAUUUAAUUUUCACAGAAGCAAAGCAUCCUGUGAAAUAAUUUUAUUCUACAUUUUCAACUUAUUAUUUCCCCUUGCCAAAUGUACCAGAAUUACUGUGAUACUCUGUAUAUAUGUCACUCGUUAUAUAUGAACGUUUUGUAACUAGCCACAAAGUAUUGUUUAGAAAGAUAAAAAUCAAAUAUAAACAUUUGGAACAUGAAAACGAACCAUUUUUCAAUACUAUGGAAUUUUCUUUAAAUAGUUUGAUGUUUGAACGACAAAGGGAAGAAAACUACAGCAUUAAAAGUGAAUAAAAAUUUAU
rnacentral:misc_RNA from 1 species